rnacentral:rRNA from 1 species
UACAGAGGGUGCAAGCGUUGUUCGGAAUUAUUGGGCGUAAAGCGCGUGUAGGCGGCUUUGCAAGUCGGGUGUGAAAGCCCUCAGCUCAACUGAGGAAGUGCGCCCGAAACUGCAUAGCUUGAGUACCGGAGAGGAUGGUGGAAUUCCCGAAGUAGAGGUGAAAUUCGUAGAUAUCGGGAGGAACACCGGUGGCGAAGGCGACCAUCUGGACGGAUACUGACGCUUAGACGCGAAAGCGUGGGUAGCAAACAGG